rnacentral:ncRNA from 1 species
AACAGAAAAAGGCAAACCGCUUGAAAAGGUGGGACGCAAAGCUUCAGGUCUAAUGCGGGAGAAUUCCGGUGCGAUGACGGCUGAGCUGCCUGG